CCUCGAAGGUAACAAGAAAGAUUAGCAGGCGCCUACAAGGAUUGACCUCGUCUUUAGGUCUUGGGCUGACCCAGUUUACUUAAACUGGCCGUGAUAAUCCGUGAUCUCCUUAUAUCUCCGUGAAAAAUGACACCCUGAUUUGAAUAAGUCUGCUUAGUUUCUAUCUAUCGUUAUCUCUUGUCAAAGGACCAAUACUGACUCUAGUGUCCAGGCGACGGUAUUUAGGUGGAGUUUACUUCUCUGUCUCCACCUUUCACUUUAGCUGUUGUCGUUGGGAUCGCAAGUUAAGAGAGGACAUUGUAUAUGGUGCUUCAGGAUUUCACUCGUUCUGUAGGAAGUGAAGGCAACGGUCACUUAACGGUUCCUUUACUGGAUGAGGGAAGUAGUUAUUACUGAGCUGCAAAUUGACGUCAUUACGUCCAGGUGAACACGGAAUGUCUAUGGAUCAUUUAGAAAUAAAGAUGGACGCAUACGCAUAUUACAACGUCAGGACCGAGGAGUGUUCCUUCCACUUUCAUUACGAAAACGAAAACGUUGUGAUGUCUACCGUCCCGGGAACUAAUCUGGUGGAAGUGUAUUCGUUAAAGGAACAGGAACGAAAAGACCAGCAACUUUGGGAGGAGAAAAGGAAACACAGCUGCAUUCAGAGCAGCACCGAACAGAAAAGUGACCCUGCUGUUAUAUCACCCCAGAGAAGUAAGUCGUUUGGGUAAAUGGACAAAUUCUUCCCAAAAUAAAAUAGAUACAUGCUUGCGGAGCUGUGGUUAAAUGGAUGGACUGAGUGGACAUACUUUUCAUUAAUCACAAAUCAAUUCUGGUGUUACCUGCAGUUAAAGAAGCAACUAUCAAAGCAGGAUGCUUGUGUUCAUUAAAAAUGAUUUAAUCUUUUCGAAAAUCAAUUAAUCUUCGUCUACUCUAUAUCGCAUUCAACUUCCAGUUAGCGGUAAUAAUGUUUUCCUUGAACCACUGCUCAACAUACCAACUGUUGCAUGAUAUUUUUAAUGAUUAUGAUUUGAUUUGGGGACCGUUCAAGCUUUCUUAUCUACCCCGAAGAAAGCACCCAUCACUCGUCCUGGCCAUUUUUAUUGCAUAUUGUCUGACUUUCAGAGCAUAUUCUAUAUCCAAGAGGUUCAAUCAAAUUUGUCACUGGUAACCUGUGACAAGAAGUGUCACAUAUCGUGAUACACUACUGUGUUAUAGACUGCCUAAAGAAAAUAUUUUAACAGACAUUUACUUCGUGAACAAAACAUUCGUAACAAUCUAUAAGCGAGACCAUCAGCCCGAUAGUCAGUGUCUUCAUGAUAGCCCUCCCCAUAAUUCAUUUCUCGAAGUCUUUGGGGAAAUUUUUAAAACUCGCGGUUGGCAGCCACAUCCAAAUAUGUCUGCACCUUUGUCCUUAGCGUCUUAUCUCAUGCCAAACCAUAUCCUGUGGGGGAUAUGCGAGAUUACUUACCAGAUUUAAAAGACUUCACCACGUAAGUUGAAAAACGUCUUCCACUCCAUUUUCAUACUAGCAGCGAAUCUACGUGAGGCGAUCGUUCGCUUUCACCAAUUUGUGAUCUGACCGAUGUGAUGGCCAGAUAAUGUCCUUGAAGACUUCCAUGGUUGACAGAAGGAAUGGAAACGAACAAAUGUUGUCUUAGUGCUGAGGAAAAUUAUAUAUCUCCCCUUAAAGGAAAAACUAUAAUUAUCAAGAUAUACUGAAGUUAGGUUAACAUUUCAAAAGUAAAAGAUGGAAAAUUGUGCCUUCAAUCGAACAAUAUAAGGAUUGCCAAUGACAGCAGAAUAAAUGACGCAAGAGCUGCCCUAACAGGUUGCACUAAGUCACCUCAAGAGAACAGCAACUGCUUAAACCUAAAAACAAAAGGACAUCAAGAAAAACUGAAGGCAGGGAAGAAAUUUCUAGCGAGGAAACGAGGACAUAAUCAUUAGUAUGAUUAACUGCUACUGACUUUAUUCUGUCAUGGAAGAGACAAAGGAAGGGCAAUCACAAAAAGGUGAAAAAUAUUAAAAACAAAGAUUGAAACGUCAGACUGAAUCAUCUGAAUUUCUUUCCCCUCCCCCCCCCCUCCCUUCACUUCAUUUCUACCUUUCAAGAGGUAAGAGUCCAAUUCCGAAACAUUGGUAAUAAGGAUUUGCAAUAUCAAUCUAGAUAUGGCCGAACCUGAAAUACGCUUAUCAAUACCACUCUUGUAGAUGGAGGCCUGUUUAGUGAAAAAAAAAAAAAAAAAAAACAUUAAUAUACAUGAAUUAUUGUGAUUUUAAAGCAGACUAGUAUUCAUGGAUGUUAUAGAGGGUAAGAGGAGCCUUACAACUUCUCAUAUGAGUUGAUUUUUUAAAAUAACAAGUCUGUAUCUCACAAACUGCUUUAAUGUUAGGUUAGGUUUGAUGUCUCAUAUUUAAAAGUAAAACAAGUUUUUAAGCUACUCCUUCAUAGUUUUAUUUUAAAAUGCAACACUCUAU